UACAGAGGUCCCAAGCGUUGUUCGGAUUCACUGGGCGUAAAGGGUGCGUAGGCGGUCGGGUAAGUCUGAUGUGAAAUCUCACAGCUUAACUGUGAAACUGCAUUGGAUACUAUCCGGCUCGAGGAAUGGAGGGGGGACUGGAAUUCUUGGUGUAGCAGUGAAAUGCGUAGAUAUCGGGAGGAAGGCCGGUGGCGAAGGCGGCGCUCUGGAACGUUUCUGACACUGAGGCUCGAAAGCGUGGGGAGCAAACAGG
rnacentral:rRNA from 1 species